rnacentral:tRNA from 1 species
AGGCACGUAGCUCAGUUGGUUAGAGCACCACCUUGACAUGGUGGGGUCGUUGGUUCGAAUCCAAUCGUGCCUACCA